rnacentral:rRNA from 1 species
GAUGAACGCUGGCGGCGUGCCUAAUACAUGCAAGUCGAGCGAACAGACAAGGAGCUUGCUCCUUUGACGUUAGCGGCGGACGGGUGAGUAACACGUGGGUAACCUACCUAUAAGACUGGGAUAACUUCGGGAAACCGGAGCUAAUACCGGAUAAUAUUUCGAACCGCAUGGUUCGAUAGUGAAAGAUGGUUUUGCUAUCACUUAUAGAUGGACCCGCGCCGUAUUAGCUAGUUGGUAAGGUAACGGCUUACCAAGGCGACGAUACGUAGCCGACCUGAGAGGGUGAUCGGCCACACUGGAACUGAGACACGGUCCAGACUCCUACGGGAGGCAGCAGUAGGGAAUCUUCCGCAAUGGGCGAAAGCCUGACGGAGCAACGCCGCGUGAGUGAUGAAGGUCUUCGGAUCGUAAAACUCUGUUAUUAGGGAAGAACAUACAUGUAAGUAACUAUGCACGUCUUGACGGUACCUAAUCAGAGAGCCACGGCUAACUACGUGCCAGCAGCCGCGGUAAUACGUAGGUGGCAAGCGUUAUCCGGAAUUAUUUGGGCGUAAAGCGCGCGUAGGCGGUUUUUUAGUCUGAUGUGAAAGCCCACGGGCUCAACCCGUGGAGGGUCAUUGGAAACUGGAAAACUUGAGUGCAGAAGAGGAAAGUGGAAUUCCAUGUGUAGCGGUGAAAUGCGCAGAGAUAUGGAGGAACACCAGUGGCGGAGGCGACUUUCUGGUCUGUAACUGACGCUGAUGUGCGAAAGCGUGGGGAUCAAACAGGAUUAGAUACCCUGGUAGUCCACGCCGUAAACGAUGAGUGCUAAGUGUUAGGGGGUUUCCGCCCCUUAGUGCUGCAGCUAACGCAUUAAGCACUCCGCCUGGGGAGUACGACCGCAAGGUUGAAACUCAAAGGAAUUGACGGGGACCCGCACAAGCGGUGGAGCAUGUGGUUUAAUUCGAAGCAACGCGAAGAACCUUACCAAAUCUUGACAUCCUUUGACAACUCUAGAGAUAGAGCCUUCCCCUUCGGGGGACAAAGUGACAGGUGGUGCAUGGUUGUCGUCAGCUCGUGUCGUGAGAUGUUGGGUUAAGUCCCGCAACGAGCGCAACCCUUAAGCUUAGUUGCCAUCAUUAAGUUGGGCACUCUAAGUUGACUGCCGGUGACAAACCGGAGGAAGGUGGGGAUGACGUCAAAUCAUCAUGCCCCUUAUGAUUUGGGCUACACACGUGCUACAAUGGACAAUACAAAGGGCAGCGAAACCGCGAGGUCAAGCAAAUCCCAUAAAGUUGUUCUCAGUUCGGAUUGUAGUCUGCAACUCGACUACAUGAAGCUGGAAUCGCUAGUAAUCGUAGAUCAGCAUGCUACGGUGAUUACGUUCCCGGGUCU